AACGCGAAGAACCUUACCAGGUCUUGACAUCCUUUGAAGCUUUUAGAGAUAGAAGUGUUCUCUUCGGAGACAAAGUGACAGGUGGUGCAUGGUCGUCGUCAGCUCGUGUCGUGAGAUGUUGGGUUAAGUCCCGCAACGAGCGCAACCCUUAUUGUUAGUUGCCAGCAUUCAGAUGGGCACUCUAGCGAGACUGCCGGUGACAAACCGGAGGAAGGCGGGGACGACGUCAGAUCAUCAUGCCCCUUAUGACCUGGGCUACACACGUGCUACAAUGGCGUAUACAACGAGUUGCCAACCCGCGAGGGUGAGCUAAUCUCUUAAAGUACGUCUCAGUUCGGAUUGUAGUCUGCAACUCGACUACAUGAAGUCGGAAUCGCUAGUAAUCGCGGAUCAGCACGCCGCGGUU
rnacentral:rRNA from 1 species